UGCGUAGGUGGCGGGGUAAGUUUGAUGUGAAAUCUCCGGGCUUAACCCGGAAACUGCAUUGAAUACUAUUCUGCUCGAGGGUUGGAGGGGGGACUGGAAUACUUGGUGUAGCAGUGAAAUGCGUAGAUAUCAAGUGGAACACCAGUGGCGAAGGCGAGUCCCUGGACAACUCCUGACACUGAGGCACGAAAGCUAGGGGAAGCAAACA
rnacentral:rRNA from 1 species